GUGCUCAGUUUGGCAGCACAUAUACUAAAAUUGGAUACAGAGAAGAUAAACAUGGCCCCUGCCCAGGGAUGACACCCAAAUAACAUAUAAGAAAAAUGACAAU